UCGCUCAAUGAGCCACAGUGCUACUGAGGACCACUUUUCCCCAGUUCUGCUUAGUCAGUCGUGUACAAUGGCAGAUAUAUCCCACAGUCUGAAAAAUGAGACACUAUAAUGGUUUAUAAUUAUUACACGCAUCUCUAUCUUUAUCCCAGCUAAUAUGCUGACAAGCGAAUAACAUCACCAGCAUUCAAUAGAUGACUCUUUAACUCAGGUCUGCAGUGACUUAUUUGGAGAUCUGUCCUGAGACUGACCCCCUAACCCAGUGUCAUGAAGCACACAUUUAACACGUUUAUUUUGCCAUCCAAGUCCUAGAACAAUAUGUUGACAACUGUAAUCUGGUAUUUAAUAAAUAGUUAUUAGGGUUUCUGUACUUUAUUGAUGUGAUUAUAUAAAUGCUUUAAACACACUGCCUGAAGGUGGAAGAGCAAUAUAAGUUAUAUAAGCUUGCAUGCAUGGUCUAUGAAUGUGAAUCAAUUUGAGUGUUUCCAGGGAACAGCUGAAAACCUGGGAGAAGCUACACCUUUCUAUGGAAUCUUGAUUUGUUUGAGGAAGCAUGGUUAACUAUUAACUCUAUUAACUACCAUUUCGGUCAGGAGGUAGAACAGGACUAACACUGCAUUUAGUUGGGACACUUCAUGUGCAAAGCAGAUCACCGAGGUAUUGUUGGUUUCUAGUUCAUCAUUUUGACCCUCUUGGAUGUUCGAACAUAGACUGGACUUCCUCUGAGAUCUAAACCAUGGGGAGAGUGAACUCUGUUUGGUUUCUCAUGCUGACCCUUGGUGUGGUGACUGCCCAGACAGUGGCUGACGGGCUUCAUCGCCGUGGCUUGCUUCCUCUUCCUCGUUUUCGUGACGUUCCUCGUCAACAAGGCCUGGUGUGACCACAGCAAAGAGUUGAGAGUGGAGCCGGUGAUGGUAGAAGACCACGCAACUACGAACGGAGCGACCUAUGACACCUCUCUCAACGUGCUCAGGAGUGCUGAUCACGAGAGCGAGAGCGUCUAUGACAACUUGGCUUUCGAUCACAGUGAAGACAAAGUCACUGUCAUGUGACUGACGUGGACCAAUCCAGUUCAUUCCUUUGCUAUUUGGUUUUCGGCCAACCUCUCUUUCACAACACAAAAAGAUAGGACAACAGAAUGCACCGGCUUACAACUGCAUCUCCUCACUCCACACUUUUAACAACGCUACUUGAAGGUGAUAGGACACAUCAUUUAAGUAAGAUACAGAAAUAAUUGCAUGAUCUGUUUAAAAAUCUCAAACUGCCUAAAGAAAAUGCAUAAGAAGUGUAUACAGUUGACCCCAUCAAGUGUACAACCAGUGUGUUGGUGUAUAGGAAGACUGGUCUUUGUUAUUCACAUUUAAUGUGUAAUCCUGUCAACACUCCUGUCCUUCUCUGGUCUAAAGUAUCAUGUGAGUAAUUAUUAAUCUCACCAAAACAUAAUUUUUUUCCCAGAUGAAUCAUCACAAUAAUCAUUCAAUUAUUCACUUCAGACAGCAUGCAAAUGGCUUGGCAGAACAGAAUGACACUGUCUCUCUCUAUAUAUAUAUAUGUCUAUAUAUAUAGACAUAUAUAUUAUAUAUAUCCUUAGGCCAAAGUUAACAUGACGGAAAUUGUUCUGCAAAUGGGUUGUACUUUUUUUAAUAAAACAUACAUUGUUGAUCUUAAGACAAAUCAUGAGAACUGAAAUAAUAAACGUGUGAAAUUAAGCAACGAACACACACAUACAUAGAGGAGAAGACUUGCAUUAUUGAUCACAGACUAUAUAUUUGCAUACCUUUUCCAUAGAUAUAGUCUUUCUAUCCAUUUUAAAUCGGCAUUGCUGGUCACAAAGGCUACAAAUGUAAGGGUUCUUUGGAUUAGAAAAUGCUGUGGUACUUUGUUGAUCAGUGUUGACAACGUUCAAUAACCCAAUUCUGCAGCUUGUGUCACUAGCUCCAUAAGGAUUAAAAACAUGAGCAUGAAGGCAUAAGGAUGCAGAGAGAGAGGUAUGCAGUAGGGCUUUCAACAGUGGGUGGGUUUCCUUUAAAGGGAUCUGGCUUUAAGACGACAGCACUUAGCUUCCACAAAACAAUAGUAGUCCUCCACAAUCCAGGUCUUCCAUACCCCUACACACACACAGGAUCAACACGCAUACACACACACACACACACACACACACAAACACACACACACACACACACACGCACACGCACACGCACACAAACACACAAACACACAAACACUCAACCAUAAACACCAUCCACAGAUACACCAAACAGAUGCAGUUUGAGUGUGCCUUACUCCGUAGCAAUAAUGGGGAGCUUCCCAGUGCAUUGGCGGUCAGUGAUGUCACUUCCUGUGAGUGGACGGCUUGCAGUGACACCAGCAACUGACCGUGGCCGAGACAGGAUAUC